UACGGGGGGGGCAAGCGUUGUUCGGAAUUACUGGGCGUAAAGGGCGCGUAGGCGGCCUUCUAAGUCGGACGUGAAAUCCCUCGGCUUAACCGAGGAACUGCGUCCGAUACUGAAAGGCUUGAAUCCGGGAGAGGGAUGUGGAAUUCCAGGUGUAGCGGUGAAAUGCGUAGAUAUCUGGAGGAACACCGGUGGCGAAGGCGGCAUCCUGGGCCGAGGGCCGACGCUGAGGCGCGAGAGCGUGGGGAGCGAACCGG
rnacentral:rRNA from 1 species